AGAAAUUGAUGAUAGCCUUUAUGGCAGAACAGCGCUUGAAUUAUCUGAAUCUGACAAAAGGAAUGCUAAUUCUGGGGCUUUGUGUUGAAAUACUUCUUGCUUUUGUCCUUUGGAUGAUGUUUUUAACAUUCUGGAGAGUUUUCUGCUGGAAUGGACCUGAGACAAGUCUGAGGCGUGAGGCUGGAAGUCCACCCAGCUCUAGGCCUGCCGGUCAGCAUGGCUUCAGAUGUGUGGAACUGAGCUGAGCAAGAGUGACUGCUGGAAGGAGCUGUGGGGAAGCCUGGAACGAGCUGCGGAGCUGCAAGUGCAUGUUUGAGGAGACCAAAAUACACUUGCCACUGGCCAAACUCUUCUGCUGUGAUGAGUAAGCAGACUUCCGACUGCCUUUACCUCGUACCGAGCUAGGCCAAUAAACAGCAUGGCUGAAAAUCCCAGGGCAAGGAGUUUCCAGCAGACACUGGCAACUGCCCUCCCGAAUCAGGGUCCGGUUUCCAACAGGAGCAAGGCCAAGCUCAACAAUGAAGUUAAAAGCCAAACUGUGGAGAAACUAGCUUCCUUACGUUGGAAAUGCAUCAAAAAAAGGGCAGCAGUUCAAAAGGGAAAAUGAGCAAAUCUGUGAAGACUUUCCUUGAAGCUCAGCACCAGGUUGUUGUUCCUUGAGAUGACCCCAGGAGAGCUGAGUGAGAACAAGAAGCAGUGAGAGUUGGCCUAGGGGCCCCCAGAACCUGCUUGGGUGCAGACAGCUGAGCGUAGGGAAAGCAGUUCUCUGAAACCUUGUUCUUGGGCUGAGCCAGAUUUUUAGGUCAUCUUAAAGUUUGAUUCUUCAUCUGCCUUGGGUGGAGGUGGUUUUUCAGUGAUGUGUAUGUAGUAAUACAUAUUGGAUGUGGUUCAAGUUGUCAUGAGAUGGAGGGGGAAAAAAAAAAGGUCACAAUGCUGCAAUUCUGUCUUCUAGUUUGGAUGGGCUGAGAGCUCUCCCCCUUAGGAGCUCUGAGGGCACCAUGAAAUCUGAAGGGGCUUCAUGAGAUCCAGCAUGUACAAGCUCAGGGCAAAUCCACCUGAAUCUUGGGAGUAACCAAUGGCUUUAAACUGGAGGAGGGUAGAUUUAGAAUAGUCAUUAGGAAGAAAUUCUGUACUGAGGGUGGUGAGACACUGGAACAGAUUGCAUAGUGAGGUUGUGGGUGCCCCCUCCCUGGAAGGCCAGGCUGGAUGGGGCUGUGAGCAACCUGUUCUAGAGGGAGGUGUCCCUGCCUGCAGCAGGGGGUUGGAACUACAUGAUCUUAAAGGUCUCUUCCAACCCAAGCCACUCUAUGAGUCGGUAAGGACAGAGAAUAAAAAU
rnacentral:lncRNA from 1 species